rnacentral:misc_RNA from 1 species
GGAAGAUUCCAUUAUGAUGCAGAUCAGGUGGACUUGGAAACAGUGGCUAUUCAUGAAAUAGGUCACCUUCUUGGGCUUGGACAUGGUCAGGAUAAGAAUGCAAUUAUGUAUCGUGCAAUUCCAUACGGAACUAUCAAAAGGCAUCUCAGUCAGGAUGACAUUGAUGGCAUUCAUGCCCUCUACUCUUAGGAAUCAAAAUAAUUAGUUUUUAUAUAAAUUAUACUAGCCCACAAGUGCAAAAUAAUUAAGGUUGUGAUUGCAAAUAAAAAAAAUAUAUUAUUAUACAUUUUUUGGUGUAAAAAAAAUAAUAUUAUAAAAGAUUAUUGGGUUAGAAUGUAUUAGCACUGAGUGAGAAUAGUUCAGUGAGCUAUCAUUUCGCUCAUAUCCUUUUAGCUUAUAACGCUUAAGCU